ensembl:lncRNA
CUGGAGGGGCAGGGCGGGGUGGGAGGGGCAGGGCAGGGUGGGAGGGGCGAGGACGGAGGGGAGGGGAGGAGAUGGAAGGGAGGGCGGGGCGGGGAUGGAGGAGAAGGGUGGAGCAGGGAGAGGCGGAGGGGCGAAAAGAGGAUGAAGGGGAGAGGAGAGGCGGGAUGAUCCCCCGCAGCUCUGAACGCCCGGCCUGCCUGUGCUUCGUGCGUUGCUGGGAGCGCCCCUGCCGGAGGCUCCCGGGCGGGUCGGCGUCCGCUUCCAGAGCCGAGGCCGGUUCUCACCCGGGCGGCCACGCCGCGCGCUGAACGGUUCCCCGCUGUCUCGGCUGAAAUGGGUGGGCAGAUCCUGUGAGCUACUUUUAAGUGCUAUAAUGAGCACCCUGAUUGCCAGCCCUGGGAGCAGCAAUGGCUCCGGGGAGCGGAGGGGGUGUCGUCCGCGCCCAUGUGCCAGGUCUGGACGCACGGAAGCCACAGCGGUGAUGGGCCCAGCGGAUAUUCCUCCGGGUGCGGGGUUGGGAAAUGGCUGGCGGGCCGCUGGACAGGAGCGCUGUCUCCCUGAGAUUUGCGGGGCUCGGGCUUGUGCAGCAGACUCUACGGGCGAACCCAGCCACGGAUGUCUGCAGGCAGCCCUGCGCGCGUGCAGACUCCAGGCAGGAGGCCAUGGCUCCCUCGUUCCUGCUCUGCCUGCGCCCUCACCCACCAGGCCGGCCGGGAUGACUGGGACCGACGGGGCUUUAUGGAAUGCAAAACUUUCGGUGAGUUUUGCUGCUGAGUAUCCUCCUUCUACCCCUGGGAGGAGGGCUGAAAUCGCAGAAGUCCUGGGUGGACCAGGGCAAAUUGGUCAUCCUAAGGCCAACCUAGCUUCUGGGGUUGAGGCAGUCACCCUGCUGUAUUAACCACACGGGGCAUAGACUCCUGGGGGAAUAAUCGCCUUCAGUUUCCUGGAGUCCCCAGAGAUUUUAUUUGUCUUCUUCACUCUGUGUGUGUGGCUGUAUCUGGAUUCCGCAUACAGUACAAUCAAUCUGCUUCUGAUUCUUUUAAGCCCAGAAUUGCUUAUUAAUUCCUAAUUUGGGAGCAGCACCAAUGUAGCUGUGGGUACCAGUCCCAUCCAGCUCCUUUAAAGGCAGGGUCUCUGCAGAGAGUGCAGGACAGUGAGGCCCCCUGGUCCCUUCUUUCUGGCUUUGCGGUAAGCUCUGAACUGUGCUGCUUUUUUUUUUUUUUGAGACGGAGUUUCGCUCUUGUUACCCAGGCUGGAGUGCAAUGGCGCGAUCUCGGCUCACCGCAACCUCCGCCUCCUGGGUUCAGGCAAUUCUCCUGCCUCAGCCUCCGGAGUAGCUGGGAUUACAGGCACGCGCCACCAUGCCCAGCUCAUUUUUUGUAUUUUUAGUAGAGACGGGGGUUUCACCAUGUUGACCAGGAUGGUCUCGAUCUCUUGACCUUAUGAUCCACCCGCCUUGGCCUCCCAAAGUGCUGGGAUUACAGGCGUGAGCCACUGCGCCCGGCCUGAACUGUGCUUCUUUUGAGUGUUCCACACCUUGUCCUCUUUCACAGAUCUUGUUGGUUUCCUUUUGGUUCAGGCCCCUAUUGCUGAUGCAAUGGGUAUAGCUGACCUGCUUAGUU